GGGGUCUGGAGCACAGGUCUUAUGAGGAGCAGCUGAAGAAGCUGAGAUUGUUCAGUCUGGAGGAGGCUCAGGGAAGACCUUAUUGCUCUCUAUAACUACCUGAAGGGAGGUUGUAGUGAGCUGGGGAUCAGCCUCUUCUCUCGGGUGACUAGAGGGAAUGGCUUCAAGCUGCACCAGGGAAGGUUCAGGCUGGACGUUAGGAAAUACUACUUCUCUGAAAGGGUGGUCAGGCACUGGAAUGGGCUGCCCAGAGAGGUGGUGGAGUCACCGACCCUGGUGGUGUUUAAAGAGCGUUUGGAUGUUGUGUUGAGGGACAUGGUUUAGCGGGAACCAUUGAUGAAGGGCGAAUGGUUGGACUGGAUGAUCCUGUGGGUCUUUUCCAACCUUAGUGAUUCUAUGAUUCUAUGAUU
ensembl:lncRNA